rnacentral:rRNA from 1 species
GACGAACGCUGGCGGCGUGCUUAACACAUGCAAGUCCAACGCUGAAGCUCAGCUUUUGUUGGGUGGAUGAGUGGCGAACGGGUGAGUAACACGUGAGUAACCUGCCCCCUUCUUUGGGAUAACGCCCGGAAACGGGUGCUAAUACUGGAUAUUCACUGGUCUUCGCAUGGGGGUUGGUGGAAAGGGUUUUUCUGGUGGGGGAUGGGCUCGCGGCCUAUCAGCUUGUUGGUGGGGUGAUGGCCUACCAAGGCUUUGACGGGUAGCCGGCCUGAGAGGGUGACCGGUCACAUUGGGACUGAGAUACGGCCCAGACUCCUACGGGAGGCAGCAGUGGGGAAUAUUGCACAAUGGGCGCAAGCCUGAUGCAGCGACGCCGCGUGAGGGAUGGAGGCCUUCGGGUUGUGAACCUCUUUCGCUCAUGGUCAAGCCGCAACAAUGGUUGUGGUGAGGGUAGUGGGUAAAGAAGCGCCGGCUAACUACGUG